AUCAAAUUCUUUACAAAUUUGUUAAUCGUUGCAACAAACUCUGUAUCAUUAAAUCACUAUUUUGAGCAAGAAUGUGGAAAUAAUUGCCAAUUAACCUUUAAGGCCAUGUGAGAGCGAGUAUAAUGGAGCAUGAUGGUUGACGGAAGGUUCGAAAGCGGAAUGGUAAUCAUAACUCAGAAUAUUCAUCCAGUCUACGUAUCUGCAAGAAAUUGUUCUACGUGAUUUUUCUAUCUGACUCACGCCCAAUGUUUAACAUUCCGUAACUUUUACAGGGACAACUUGUACAAUCUAAAGAUAGCAAAAAUCAAUUUUUCAAUCGAUUUUUUAACAAAAAGGUUGCCAUUUGUGGGGUAUAGUAUACUAGAAUUGUGUGCUAGAACUUAUUAUAAACCAGAUAUGGGAGCAUUUUUGACGCCUACCAUAGUUUAAGCAAGUCUUGUAACCAAGGAAGGCCACUGCCUCUAGGAAUGAUCAAAUAGUAGCUCUGAUUGACAAGACCAGUUCAAUGUCUGCUAGAAGUGCCUUAAAGUUGGGUCCCUAGGCCAGCUACUGUGGAAUUUUUAUAAUUCGGCGAAUUCGCGAGGCGCCUUUCACAUUUUUUAUAAAUGGCGGAAGCGCCUUUUGAUGUUUCCUUUUAGAACUUUCUAUAUAUUAUUUAUUUAUUUUUAUAUUAUAUUUAUUUCAAAUAAUUUCAAGGAAAGUCCAUUUAUUUCGUUUAUUUUUUUUUCUAGAACUUUCCAGAAUUGUAUUUAGGUAUAUAAAUAAUUUGUGUAAACGUAGUUAGUUAAUUUUAAAUAAAUAAUCGUAGCGAAAAGAA